AACAUUACUGCCAGGAACAAAGACAAAAACCCUGCCCUCACUCACACUCCAGCGGGGAGGGGAACAAAGAACACACAGGGAGCAGAACGAACAGGGCUGGGACUCACCCGCAGGUGCCCAAGGGGAGUGACUGCUCCCGAGAAGGAGGGCAGCCCUCGGGCCGCGGGUGUGGCUCCGUGCUGCGUUCACACGCGAGCAGGUCCGAGGAGGUCUGGGGUGGCGAGCGAGGGCCCGUGGGGAUGUGGGAGAAGGCUCCCAGCAGUGGGAACGGCAACUCGAAGGCCCACGGAAGGACAGCGUCUCGGGGCAGAGGGGCGGAGGCAAGCCCACGUGGUGGGACACAGCAGACGAGAAGAGCGAGAAGAGCGGUGGCAGGGUGUGCGGGCAGGGAGGCGGGUCGCGCGGGGCCAGGUCGGGACGCUGGUUUGCGCUGGGACCGUGGAGGUGAAGGGAAGCAGAGGGACCUGACUGCGUUUGGAAGGCUCACGCUGCUGCCGGGUUGAGAAGCUGACUGUCAGGGCACAGGGGAGCAGCACGGAGGCCUGAGGAAAGCUACUGCAUACACCAUCCACUGGGGAGGCUUCAGUCACCCGGGGAAGUGUGACAGGUCUGACUUUAGACAAACUUUGAAGACAGAGCCAGCAGAUUUUCUGACAGGUUGAAGGGGUAAGACAGAAAGAACUGCAAAGAAUUCCACCACCCCAGCCUGCUAACGUGAGGAGCAGGAGACCUCAGCAGAGGCGGAAUCCUGGGAGCAGCCGCUGGGAGAAGAGGCCUGGAGCUCAGUCCCAGCUGCCUGGGGGUGGAGGCGCCCAGCCCAGGGAGGGGUCUGCCGUGCAUGUGGAGGGAGGUCAGGCCCCGUGGCUCCGGCAUGUUGAAGACUUGCUCUGUCAGAUUCACUCCUGGUCUCAGAAGAGAGAUCAGACGCCUGGACUAAGGAGCUGUGUUACUUUUGGCAAGGCACCUCACCUUUCUCUGGGCCUGUUUCUUAAUUUCCAACUGGAGAUAAAAGUAGCAUCUAACUCCCAGGGAUGUCAAAAAGCCUGCAAAGCGCAACUCGGUGGGCGGCGGACAGGAUCCUACUGGGGAAGCUGGGGGUGGCCACUGGCGAUGAGCUUGCAGGCACCUAGGAUCCACCCCAUGCACACAGAGACCGAGAGAAGCUGGGACCAAAGCCUCCAUCCCUGUGCUCAUCAGGUAAGCCACUUCCGGUACAGCUCUCACACACCGCUUCCAACUCGGGCUGCGGGGAGAGGCUCCCAGAGGGUAGGGAAGGGCACCUGGGUUUUGAAGCCUGUCACACUUGGGCCAAAGGAGCCUCACACCAUUACCGACUGAUUAAACAAAAGGACAAGAGUUAAAACACAAGAAACGGCUAGAAAUGCUACACAGAGACGAGACAGCCCAAGUGAUUCCCAAUCUGAGCCUGCGAUCUCAUCUGUCUCUGCCUUGCAGGCCCCAACGCCCAGACGCUUCCCUCAAUGGUCUCCAUCUCACUGCUGGCGCCGUCACCCGCCAGCUACGCCAGGCCCAGGGUGCGGGUGCUGUGCUGAGUCCUUUCUCCUCUUCCGCCCCAUUCUCCAUUGGCACAGGUCCUCUGCCCUGGAAAGGGCCCUCAAAUGAGGCACUCGCCCUGCCAGCCUGCACCGCCAGCCACGGGGCUCAGUACCGCCUGUCUGCGGCAGCUGUGUCUCCCCUGGUUCCUCUUCCUGCUCCUCCACUCCACUCUCCAUGCAGCUGCAGCCCAAGGCGCCAACUACGUCAUGACCCCGGCCCCACUCCGUAAUGACACUGGUGUGAGCUCAAAUCCCCAAUCCCUGCAGCGUCUCCCCUGCUCCUCUUCCCCAGUCCGUAGGGCACCUUUCCUGCAACCUCUGCUCCCUCCAGCUGCAAAGGUAUUUUCAGGGUCUUUCUUGUCUCGGGGACUUCACAGACGUCACCUCUGCCUGGCAUUCUCUUCUCUCACUCCAACUGCUCCACUCAUCACUCCCUCCCCCUUGUCUGGAACAUCAUCGCCUUCUCUAGUCCUCCACAUUUGGAAAAAUGCCCCCAAGGUGCUCUGCACUUCCUAGUUCCUGCAAGAAUUCCAUGAUAAACCAUUUGAUGACUA